rnacentral:rRNA from 1 species
AGUUCUCGUUGAUGAUCGGUGCUUGCACCGAGAUUCAACAUGGAACGAGUGGCGGACGGGUGAGUAACACGUGGGUAACCUGCCCUUAAGUGGGGGAUAACAUUUGGAAACAGAUGCUAAUACCGCAUAGAUCCAAGAACCGCAUGGUUCUUGGCUGAAAGAUGGCGUAAGCUAUCGCUUUUGGAUGGACCCGCGGCGUAUUAGCUAGUUGGUGAGGUAACGGCUCACCAAGGCGAUGAUACGUAGCCGAACUGAGAGGUUGAUCGGCCACAUUGGGACUGAGACACGGCCCAAACUCCUACGGGAGGCAGCAGUAGGGAAUCUUCCACAAUGGACGCAAGUCUGAUGGAGCAACGCCGCGUGAGUGAAGAAGGCUUUCGGGUCGUAAAACUCUGUUGUUGGAGAAGAAUGGUCGGCAGAGUAACUGUUGUCGGCGUGACGGUAUCCAACCAGAAAGCCACGGCUAACUACGUGCCAGCAGCCGCGGUAAUACGUAGGUGGCAAGCGUUAUCCGGAUUUAUUGGGCGUAAAGCGAGCGCAGGCGGUUUUUUAAGUCUGAUGUGAAAGCCCUCGGCUUAACCGAGGAAGCGCAUCGGAAACUGGGAAACUUGAGUGCAGAAGAGGACAGUGGAACUCCAUGUGUAGCGGUGAAAUGCGUAGAUAUAUGGAAGAACACCAGUGGCGAAGGCGGCUGUCUGGUCUGUAACUGACGCUGAGGCUCGAAAGCAUGGGUAGCGAACAGGAUUAGAUACCCUGGUAGUCCAUGCCGUAAACGAUGAAUGCUAGGUGUUGGAGGGUUUCCGCCCUUCAGUGCCGCAGCUAACGCAUUAAGCAUUCCG